rnacentral:rRNA from 1 species
AGUCGAGCGGAGUUACUUUGAAAGCUUGCUUUCAAAGUAACUUAGCGGCGGACGGGUGAGUAACACGUAGGCAACCUGCCCCUUAGACUGGGAUAACUACCGGAAACGGUAGCUAAUACCGGAUAAUUUCUUUUUUCUCCUGAAGGAAGAAUGAAAGACGGAGCAAUCUGUCACUGAGGGAUGGGCCUGCGGCGCAUUAGCUAGUUGGUGGGGUAACGGCCCACCAAGGCGACGAUGCGUAGCCGACCUGAGAGGGUGAACGGCCACACUGGGACUGAGACACGGCCCAGACUCCUACGGGAGGCAGCAGU